rnacentral:sRNA from 1 species
GGGAACGCAGAGCAGGAAUGCGUGGCAGGAAGGAAUCUCCCAGGGAUUCACAGUUCACCCCUAAAUCAAUCCGUGGGGCCGAGGGGCCCGAGGGGCAAAGUAUCUGAGUGACCCAGCCCUCAGUCUUGUGUCCGUUCCUGAGAAGGAGCUCAGCCUUGCCCCUCAGGAGCUGCAUGUACCAAAUAGACCAUGGACGGAGGCAGCCUCCGAGCCAGCCCAGCAGCCAUGGACGGAGGAGCCUUGGAGCCAGCCCAGCAGCUCUCCUCACUGGAGGGGUGGACGGGACAGGACCGGCUGCUCAUUCCACGCUGGAGGGAGGCCAGGAGUCUCAGCUGGAUGCAGUCACCUGACCUGGAGAGUUCAAAGUGCCUAACACAGGAAGGUCCUGGAGGGGAUGGCCUGGGAUGGGCUAGGACCCGGUUCCCACCUCAGGAGGCCUCUGGCCAUGGAAGUGCUAAGGGAUGCUGCUACCCACAAGCCUGGAUCCUGGCGUGCUCCGCGGCUCUCCUUCAAGCCCUGGCCUCAUCAGACCUCCAAGGCUCCCUAGACAGGGUUAAUUAUUCACGUGGCCUGGGACCCAGGGUUCGUUUGUUUGUUUUUCCCGACACAGUAGGGUCCACGAGGAAGUCAGGAUCCACCGGCAAUAUUUGCAGUGUUAUGUUGAAUGUGGCAACUGGCUGCGUGAGGAUAGAGAAGUAAACAGCAUGUCCGGUGGCAGUCGGUUAC